rnacentral:SRP_RNA from 1 species
GUCAGGCAUGGUGGCUCAUGCCUGUAAUCCCAGCAAUUUGGGAGGCUGAGGUGGGUGGAUCACCUGCGGUCAGGAGUUUGAGACCAGCCUGACCAACAUGGUGAAAACCCAUCUCUA